rnacentral:rRNA from 1 species
GAGUUUGAUCAUGGCUCAGAUUGAACGCUGGCGGCAUGCCUUACACAUGCAAGUCGAACGGCAGCACGGGAGCUUGCUCCUGGUGGCGAGUGGCGAACGGGUGAGUAAUGCAUCGGAACGUAUCCUGGAGUGGGGGAUAACGUAGCGAAAGUUACGCUAAUACCGCAUAUUCUGUGAGCAGGAAAGCGGGGGACCUUCGGGCCUCGCGCUCUUGGAGCGGCCGAUGUCGGAUUAGCUAGUUGGUGAGGUAAAGGCUCACCAAGGCGACGAUCCGUAGCAGGUCUGAGAGGAUGAUCUGCCACACUGGAACUGAGACACGGUCCAGACCUCCUACGGGAGGCAGCAGUGGGGAAUUUUGGACAAUGGGGGCAACCCUGAUCCAGCCAUGCCGCGUGAGUGAAGAAGGCC